CUGCCUGUAAGACUGGGAUAACUCCGGGAAACCGGAGCUAAUACCGGAUAGUUCCUUGAACCGCAUGGUUCAAGGAUGAAAGACGGUUUCGGCUGUCACUUACAGAUGGACCCGCGGCGCAUUAGCUAGUUGGUGGGGUAAUGGCUCACCAAGGCGACGAUGCGUAGCCGACCUGAGAGGGUGAUCGGCCACACUGGGACUGAGACACGGCCCAGACUCCUACGGGAGGCAGCAGUGGUCA
rnacentral:rRNA from 2 species